AGUGAACGCUGGCGGCAGGCCUAACACAUGCAAGUCGAACGGCAGCACAGUAAGAGCUUGCUCUUACGGGUGGCGAGUGGCGGACGGGUGAGGCAUACAUCGGAAUCUACUUUUUCUUGGGUGAUAUCGUAGGGAAACUUACGCUAAUACAGCAUACGACCUACGGGUGAAAGCAGGGGAUCUUCGGACCUUGCGCGACUGAAUGAGCCGAUGUCGGAUUAGCUAGUUGGCGGGGUAAAGGCCCACCAAGGCGACGAUCCGUAGCUGAUCUGAGAGGAUGAUCAGCCACACUGGAACUGAGACACGGUCCAGACUCCUACGGGAGGCAGCAGUGGGGAAUAUUGCACAAUGGGCGAAAGCCUGAUCCAGCCAUACCGCGUGAGUGAUGAAGGCCUUCGGGUUGUAAAGCCCUUUUGUUGGGAAAGAAAAGCAGCAGGUUAAUACCCCGCUGUUCUGACGGUACCCAAAGAAUAAGCACCGGCUAACUUCGUG
rnacentral:rRNA from 1 species